AGAUGAGCAUUGGGCUUAAAGCGUGCGCAGGCGGUUCGGAAAGAAAGAUGUGAAAUCCCAGAGCUUAACUUUGGAACUGCAUUUUUAACUACCGAGCUAGAGUGUGUCAGAGGGAGGUGGAAUUCCGCGUGUAGCAGUGAAAUGCGUAGAUAUGCGGAGGAACACCGAUGGCGAAGGCAGCCUCCUGGGAUAACACUGACGCUCAUGCACGAAAGCGUGGGGAGCAAACAGGAUUAGAUACCCUGGUAGUCCACGCCCUAAACGAUGUCAACUAGCUGUUGGGGCCUUCGGCCUGUAGCGCAGCUAACGCGUGAAGUUGACCGCCUGGGAGUACGGUCGCAAGAUUAAAACUUAAAAAAUUAGACGG
rnacentral:rRNA from 1 species